rnacentral:rRNA from 1 species
AGAGUAGGACUAAGCCAUGCGAGUCAACGUAUGAAUAAUACGUGGCGAACGGCUCAGUAACACGUAGUCAACAUGCCCAGAGGACGUGGAUAACCUCGGGAAACUGAGGAUAAACCGCGAUAGGUCAUAAUGUCUGGAAUGAUUUAUGGCUCAAAUCUAUAUGGCCUCUGGAUUGGACUGCGGCCGAUCAGGCUGUUGGUGAGGUAAUGGCCCACCAAACCUAAAACCGGUACGGGCUCUGAGAGGAGAAGCCCGGAGAUGGGCACUGAGACAAGGGCCCAGGCCCUAUGGGGCGCAGCAGGCGCGAAACCUCUGCAAUAGGCGAAAGCCUGACAGGGUUACUCUGAGUGAUGCCCGCUAAGGGUAUCUUUUGGCACCUCUAAAAAUGGUGCAGAAUAAGGGGUGGGCAAGUCUGGUGUCAGCCGCCGCGGUAAUACCAGCACCCCGAGUUGUCGGGACGAUUAUUGGGCCUAAAGCAUCCGUAGCCUGUUCUGCAAGUCCUCCGUUAAAUCCACCCGCUUAACGGAUGGGCUGCGGGGGAUACUGCAGAGCUAGGAGGCGGGAGAGGCAAACGGUACUCAGUGGGUAGGGGUAAAAUCCAUUGAUCUACUGAAGACCACCAGUGGCGAAGGCGGUUUGCCAGAACGCGCUCGACGGUGAGGGAUGAAAGCUGGGGGAGCAAACCGGAUUAGAUACCCGGGUAGUCCCAGCUGUAAACGAUGCAGACUCGGUGAUGGGUUGGCCUCGAGCCAACCCAGUGCCGCAGGGAAGCCGUUAAGUCUCCCGCCUGGGGAGUACGGUCGCAAGACUGAAACUUAAAGGAAUUGGCGG